rnacentral:lncRNA from 1 species
AAGGUUAAAAAAAGCACUACACUAAUAAGGUAAAAUUAAAAUUUUGUUUGCAAAAUUGGGUUUUAAAAAUGCAGGAGGUAAUCAUUAUUUAGAUUUAUUCAAUGCCACAAUUAAUGGGUCAUUCAAUCAUAAUUUCUAAUGCCCUGUUUUUAAUUAAUUGAACCAGCUAGUAUUAGCUCGACAACUUAGGGUGGGGGUAUUCGAGGAAAAAAUGUGUUGUUAUUUGUUAACUGUCCGUUAAAUCGUUAACGGUUAACUUUCUACUCAAAUGCCCCACCCUAGAUGGCGAAGUCGUCGAGCUUGUACUCCAUCUCGCGUCAGUCAUGGGAGAUUGUUCAUGUGGACGAUGUGGUUGUGGACGUUCUUUUCUUUACCGUUUCCGUUUGUCUUGUCCGUUUUCUUUUCUUUCAUCAUUACGUUGGAAAAAGAUAUGGCGACCACGUUACGAGGUGUCGGGUAAUUACGAGGUGUCGGGUAACAAGAGGCGAUUUACCGGCUUACAAUUAAUGCUGUAUCAAAACAGCAGUGCAAAGCCCCGUGAAAUGUAGAUUGUGGUCGGGGAGAAGAACAGUUUUCCACAGUUAAACUAUAAUAUUUGGAUUGCACAGUCUGGAAUAAAUUGUUGGUGGUGGUGAUUGUUUAGAAAAAACUAUUGCCGUGGAGUACUGUAAGAUGUGGUACUACACAAGCUGCGCUGCUCAUCAGUUUGAACAGUUGAUUGCAGUUUUUCCACUACUGAAUUUGAAAAGGCCCUUUGUCAAGAGAAAAAUCCAAUCUAAGCCGAAAAAUUGAGACAGGCGCCAGCCAAUCCUUUCUGGAAUUUUGCUAUGGACAUUUUUCAAAUGAACCUCAAUGUUAAGAAAGGAGAAGAAUCCCAAAAUAGAGCUUGAAGAACCAUCUACUACCGAUAUACCAAUAACCAACGGAACUUAUUCCAUGCGCUCCAAGACGGCGUUAUUAUGGCGUGCUCUUGGCUUGCAGACUCAUGGCAAUUUACGACGGUUCUGGUGGAGUCAUCAAGAAGGAAAGCAGUGGUAACCCUCACCAAAUCAAAAUCCUUCACCAACCGACAUCAUUUUCAAGUUUGACAUAGAUGGACGGCAUCUGUUUGCGGUAUGUAAGACCAUGGCGUCAGAGAAGAGACAUCGUAAAUGUUACUUGUUCAAGUUCCCUUUAGCAAACCUUUAUUACUUCUAUAUCCCAGACCAAUUGCCUAAAGUACCAGCAGAUCUAGAAACCCAAAGUUGAUGAAAUUUGUCUUGAGGAUUAAUUGAGUUCUACAGUAUCACGACGAAAAGCAUCUAGCACGAUAUCGUUUAAGACUUCACAUUGGCCAGACCUCUGUUCAGAAUGUCUCGGUUUUCCACGCAAACGACAUCAAAUCGUUGAGCGAAUUAUCUUGGAAAGUUCGAAUCCUCUGUGCAUGUCCCAAUGAGAAGAAAUGGUGACCAAAGCCGGCAACCUAGGCAGAGACAGUAAAAUUGGACAAGGAAUUCACCCAAUCUCGUCCACGAUUGCGUAAACGCAAGGGCCAUUAGAUAUUUUGGUACUGGAGGUAAACCGAAAUCUAAGACCAUGAAGAAACUCGAUGCUUAUUCCUAAUAGCAAUUGCGCUCACUACAUAAUUCUCUAACCCAUCACUAAAGAACACCACUCCUGCAACACAAACUAAUGUUGUUCAACUUAAUUGGUGUUUACGCAGCUGGGACAACUGGAAUUCCCAUGGGUCGGCGUAUUCAUCACCAUUCAUUCACCACCAUAAAUGAUAACAUAUUUUAGGUUGAUCGCGCAAUGAUGAGUUCAGCUUCGGGACCCCUACCUGGCUGUACUAAUUGCUCUCCAUUGCCUCCGCCACUCCAAUCAAUGUCUUCUGGAAAAUACAGUAUCGCUUCACUGAGAUGUAUACUUUGCCAUUCCAAUGGCAAACUUAAAAGGAAAUGUGCCAUUCC